rnacentral:rRNA from 1 species
GACGAACGCUGGCGGCGUGCUUAACACAUGCAAGUCGAACGGAAAGGCCCUGCUUUUGUGGGGUGCUCGAGUGGCGAACGGGUGAGUAACACGUGAGUAACCUGCCCUUGACUUUGGGAUAACUUCAGGAAACUGGGGCUAAUACCGGAUAGGAGCUCCUGCUGCAUGGUGGGGGUUGGAAAGUUUCGGCGGUUUGGGAUGGACUCGCGGCUUAUCAGCUUGUUGGUGGGGUAGUGGCUUACCAAGGCUUUGACGGGUAGCCGGCCUGAGAGGGUGACCGGCCACAUUGGGACUGAGAUACGGCCCAGACUCCUACGGGAGGCAGCAGUGGGGAAUAUUGCACAAUGGGCGGAAGCCUAAUGCAGCAACGCCGCGUGCGGGAUGACGGCCUUCGGGUUGUAAACCGCUUUCGCCUGUGACGAAGCGUGAGUGACGGUAAUGGGUAAAGAAGCACCGGCUAACUACGUG